CUCCCCUGCACAUCCCCACUCCUCCAGAGCUGCUCUGCCUGGUCACCAUCCCCCUCCCCUGCACAUCCCCACUCCUCCAGAGCUGCUCUGCCUGGUCACCAUCCCCCUCCCCUGCACAUCCCCACUCCUCCAGAGCUGCUCUGCCUGGUCACCAUCCCCCUCCCCUGCACAUCCCCACUCCUCCAGAGCUGCUCUGCCUGGUCACCAUCCCCCUCCCCUGCACAUCCCCACUCCUCCAGAGCUGCUCUGCCUGGUCACCAUCCCCCUCCCCUGCACAUCCCCACUCCUCCAGAGCUGCUCUGCCUGGUCACCAUCCCCCUCCCCUGCACAUCCCCACUCCUCCAGAGCUGCUCUGCCUGGUCACCAUCCCCCUCCCCUGCACAUCCCCACUCCUCCAGAGCUGCUCUGCCUGGUCACCAUCCCCCUCCCCUGCACAUCCCCACUCCUCCAGAGCUGCUCUGCCUGGUCACCAUCCCCCUCCCCUGCACAUCCCCACUCCUCCAGAGCUGCUCUGCCUGGUCACCAUCCCCCUCCCCUGCACAUCCCCACUCCUCCAGAGCUGCUCUGCCUGGUCACCAUCCCCCUCCCCUGCACAUCCCCACUCCUCCAGAGCUGCUCUGCCUGGUCACCAUCCCCCUCCCCUGCACAUCCCCACUCCUCCAGAGCUGCUCUGCCUGGUCACCAUCCCCCUCCCCUGCACAUCCCCACUCCUCCAGAGCUGCUCUGCCUGGUCACCAUCCCCCUCCCCUGCACAUCCCCACUCCUCCAGAGCUGCUCUGCCUGGUCACCAUCCCCCUCCCCUGCACAUCCCCACUCCUCCAGAGCUGCUCUGCCUGGUCACCAUCCCCCUCCCCUGCACAUCCCCACUCCUCCAGAGCUGCUCUGCCUGGUCACCAUCCCCCUCCCCUGCACAUCCCCACUCCUCCAGAGCUGCUCUGCCUGGUCACCAUCCCCCUCCCCUGCACAUCCCCACUCCUCCAGAGCUGCUCUGCCUGGUCACCAUCCCCCUCCCCUGCACAUCCCCACUCCUCCAGAGCUGCUCUGCCUGGUCACCAUCCCCCUCCCCUGCACAUCCCCACUCCUCCAGAGCUGCUCUGCCUGGUCACCAUCCCCCUCCCCUGCACAUCCCCACUCCUCCAGAGCUGCUCUGCCCCCAGCCCUGUCCUGGGCUGCAUUCCCGGGCCAGCAGGGAAAGGGAGGGUGGGGAUUCUGAAUCCGUCCCCAACAUCACAGGGGUGUGGGAUGAGUCCAGAGGAGCCCGGAGCUGCUGCAGGGCUGGAGCCCCUCUGGAGCCAGGCUGGGAGAGCUGGGGGUGCUCACUGGAGAGGAGAAGCUCCAGGGAGAGCUCAGAGCCCCUGGCAGGGCCUGGAGGGGCUCCAGGAGAGCUGGAGAGGGGCUGGGGACAGGGAUGGAGGGACAGACCCAGGGAAUGGCUCCCAGUGCCCAGGGCAGGGCUGGGUGGGAUUUUGGGCAGGAAUUGUUCCUGGCAGGGCCCCCCCCCCCCCCCCCCCCCCCCCCCCCCCCCCCCCCCCCCCCCCCCCCCCCCCCCCCCCCCCCCCCCCCAGCAGUCCCUGGAUCCCUGGCAGUGCCCAAGGCCAGGCUGGAGCAGCUGGGACAGUGGGAGGUGUCCCUGCCAGGGCAGGGGUGGAUUUAAAUGAUUUAAGCUCCCUUUCAGCUCAACCCAUUCCAUGA
ensembl:lncRNA